rnacentral:lncRNA from 1 species
UGCCGACUUGCUUCUAAGCAACAGAACACAACAAUACACCUGACCUUUGUGUAACUUCAGAGGUGAGGUCAUAAAAGGCUGUGCAGAACCCACUCAAUGCUACGAGAAGCCCAAGCCCUGUGGAGAGACCAUGGAAGUGGCUUGGGUCAAUAGUCCCAGCAGAGCUGAGCCUUCAAGUCUUCCUAGCCCAGGCACCAGAGAUGGGAGAGAGGAACUCUCCAGGCUUUUCCCCAGACUUCUUUGCAAGCUCUUCCUCCUUCACUGAAGAUGUGGGAGCUUCUCUGGGCUUUCUUCCUGGCUCCCUGUCCCUUCCACUUAGGCCCUCUUCUUGAGCCAUUUCAGGCAUCCCCAUGGCCCCUGUGGCAGAUGCUGCAGCGCCUCACCCACACUCUCUGGACUGUGCUCAGAAGUGCCAAGCAGUUAGGACCCUAAGAACAGCCUUCAAUGAAAGAAGGGUAGGAGGUGGUAGACAAAUACCCCAGCCUUCUUCCCGCUUCUGGGACAAUUCUGAGGUGUGCUCCCCACCAUUCCUCUGAGAAUUGCCAGCAGGACUGAGUCCCAGUUGCCCAUAGCAGCAACCCACUCAGUAAAGGCCCUUCCCUGCCUCCCGACCUCCUCACUGCGCUGCCUGGGAACCCCUCCCAAUAAAUGACUUGCACCCAAACCCUGACUCAGCAUCUGUCUUUGGGAUCCCAGGCGGAGUCACCUCCACUGCUCCCAACAUGUGGCCAGUACCCAGGCCUUACUUUGCAGCCCAGGCUUCUCCUCUGAGCUUCAGCCUGGGGACCCAGCUGCCUCAAGGACAACUGUCCCUGUGUGUCCUACUGGUCCCCAAGGCUGGCACAUCCCAAACCAAACUCUUCAGGUUCUUAAUCCUCCUUAGGGUUGGCUGCACCAUCUGCCUAGAG